ACCGCGGCGGCUGGCUUAACACAUGCAAGUCGGACGUGGAAUUCCCUUCGGGGAUGAGUAGCGUGGCGGACGGGUGAGUAACGCGUGGAUGACCUGCCCUACCGGUGGGGGAUAACCCGGGGAAACCCGGGCUAAUACCGCAUACGUCCUGGUCUUUUGGGGUCAGGGGAAAGCUGGCCUCUGUUACAAGCUAGCGCCGGAGGAGGGGUCCGCGUCGGAUUAGCUAGUUGGUGGGGUAACAGCUCACCAAGGCGACGAUCCGUAGCUGGUCUUAGCGGAUGAUCAGCCACACUGGGACUGAGACACGGCCCAGACGCCUACGGGCGGCAGCAGUGGGGAAUCUUGGACAAUGGGGGCAACCCUGAUCCAGCCAUGCCGCGUGGGUGAAGAAGGCCUUCGGGUUGUAAAGCCCUUUCAGCUGUGAAGACGCCGGGUUGUUCGAACAGGGCGACCUUGGUGACGUUAGCAGCAGAAGAAGCACCGGCCAACUCCGUGCCAGCAGCCGCGGU
rnacentral:rRNA from 1 species